rnacentral:rRNA from 1 species
AGGGUUCGAUCCUGGCUCAGGACGAACGCUGGCGGUGCGCCUUAUGCAUGCAAGUCGAGCGAAGCUUUUCAGUAGUUUACUACAGAAAAUGACUGAGCGGCGAACGGGUGAGUAACGCGUGAGCAAUCUAUCUUAGUUACUGGGAUAGCCCGAGGAAACUCGGAUUAAUACCGGAUAAUCUUAUUACAUCACAUGAUAUUUUAAGUAAAGGUCAGCCGAACUAAGAUGAGCUCGCGUUCUAUCAGCUUGUUGGUGGGGUAAAAGCCUACCAAGGCUACGACGGAUAGCUGGUCUGAGAGGACGAUCAGCCACACUGGGACUGAGACACGGCCCAGACUCCUACGGGAGGCUGCAGCAGGGAAUAUUGCGCAAUGAGCGAAAGCUUGACGCAGCGACACCGCGUGUGGGAUGACGGUUCUAGGAUUGUAAACCACUUUCAGGAGGGAAGAAAAUGACGGUACCUCCACAAGAAGCCCCGGCCAACUACGUGCCAGCCGCCGCGGUAAUUC